CACAAGCGGUGGAUGAUGUGGUUUAAUUCGAUGCAACGCGAAAACCUUACCCACCUUUGACAUGGCAGGAAUCCUGAAGAGAUUUGGGAGUGCUCGAAAGAGAACCUGCACACAGGUGCUGCAUGGCUGUCGUCAGCUCGUGUCGUGAGAUGUUGGGUUAAGUCCCGCAACGAGCGCAACCCUUGUCAUUAGUUGCUACAUUCAGUUGGGCACUCUAAUGAGACUGCCGGUGACAAACCGGAGGAAGGUGGGGAUGACGUCAAGUCCUCAUGGCUCUUAUAGGUGGGGCUACACACGUCAUACAAUGGAUGGUACAAAGGGUCGCCAACCCGCGAGGGGGAGCCAAUCCCAUAAAGCCAUUCGUAGUCCGGAUCGCAGUCUGCAACUCGACUGCGUGAAGUCGGAAUCGCUAGUAAUCGUGGAUCAGAAUGUCACGGUGAAUACGUUCCCGGGUCUU
rnacentral:rRNA from 1 species